ACGCUGUUUUCUCUCUUCCACAGUAUAACGCCCCACCUUAUACCUCGCCUCCUCAAAACUCGAAUGAUCACAUGUCAGUGGAGCGCCACCUCCAAGACCCAUUUUAAUGCAAUCUCUCGCCUGCAACACAUCUUAAUUUGUAUUAAAGUCACAUGAGAAUGAAGUUUAGUAUUUACAAUUUUCAAAUAAUGGGAAGUACUUGGCUUCAGCAUCGAGAGAUUGCACUAAAUAAUUUGGGAGGCAUCAAAUGGAGAUCUCAUCAAGGAAAAUCAAGUCGGAUCAAGGACGGUCUUCGCCGGGACGAUCAAGCCAGGACAGGGGCGACCUCUUUCAAUCCAGCGUUCCAAGGCGAGGUACAUCAUCAUCCUGCACAUCAAGGACACAUGGAGUUAGAACAAGGGCUCGUUGAAGAAGUAAAUAGUUCCAGAUGAAUUAAUUAAAGCAAGCUUCUCAACAACAUCAAGUUGAAUAUUUACCAAGUUACAAGUGUCAGAUGAGGUGGCAUCCUAGUCAUCACGUCUCCAAUCAGUGAGGUCCAUCUCAGCAUGUCCAGAUUCAAUGUACUUAAUUCAUGGAAGGUGACACAAACUCCGAUGUACCUACCCCAGCUAUCCAUUGGUCGAUUUUUCUAGAAGGGACAUGUGUCCAAGCAAUACAAUUUUAUCAUUGGUCAAGCAUUAAAUGUUAUGUAAUGGUUGUAACAAACCCUAAUUAGGGUUUUCAUUGUUGAAUCUUGGCCAUUGAUCUUGAAUUGAUCUAAGCCAUCAAAUUGUAUUGUGGGCACUAUAUAAGCCCAGGCAUUUCAUUUGUAAAGGCUAAUUAGAAAAUAAUUAGAGAGAGAGUUGUAAAUAAUAGAAAGCAGUUAGUAGAUAGAGAGUAGUUAGAAAUUGAUAGAAUAGCAAUUAGAGUAGAAUAGGAGGACAAGGCAAGAAAUUGUUGCCAUUGAUUGUAAACAAACUCCAUUUUCAUUGAAGUAAUGGUGAAGUGUGUCGUUUCUUGCAAUUU